rnacentral:misc_RNA from 1 species
UUAAGUUCAGCGGGUAGUCCUACCUGAUUUGAGGUCAGAUUGUCAAAGUCGUCCCUUGCAGGACAAUUGGAAGCGAGGCUUUGUAGAUUGUAGGCUUUUUUAUCGGCGUAAAAUAACUAUCACACCAGAGAUUAGCCACAAAAGCCUUGCGCUAAUGCAUUUUAGGGCAGCUGGCUCGUAGGAUCAAGCCAGCAAAGCCC